UUGGCCAAGGUAACUUUGUAUCCCCUUUUCAAUAUUUAUAUUUUAUAGAUUAUGUACAAUGAGUUCUUCAUCAAAAUAAAUAAACAAAUAACAUGUAAUUAACUUAUUUGUCACUAGCAUCAUCUUUGUCACUACCUAUAAAAUCUGCUACCAGAUUGUUUUUUCAUUAGAGAUGAAAUAGAAGAGUUGAAGAAGGCAAGCAUUGAUGUACCUCAACUGAUGUUGUUCUAAAAGAAUGAACUCAAUUUUCUUGAAAUGGGUUGUCAGCUUCUUCAGAGUCACUUUACAGGUCCCCUUUUCUCAUCUUAUUAUUCUUAUUGUGAGCUUAUCUGUUAUGGCCAGCAAAUCCACAAUCUAAACACGCUUAUAGUGAGCUUAUCUGUUAUGGCUACACAUAUGCUACUCAAUCUUUAAUAAUUUUAUCCUGUUCUGAUUACUCUUGAGAACUUAUGAUGAAUUCGUUGGGAGCUCCCCUCUGUUUUCAGGAAGGGAUUGACUUAUGAGCACGCAUUCGACCAGGGUCUAUGGCAUACACCAAAC
rnacentral:lncRNA from 1 species